GAGAGAGAGAGAGAGAGAGAGAGAGAGAGCGAGAGUUGAAUUAGAAUACUAUCGAUAGCAAACGGGCUACGUCGUCACCCAUUUGUUUUCGAUGAUGGAGCUUCCGAAUUGACGAUCGGCACCGUUGAACAUGAUUUAUACCACUUGAAGUAUUUAGAAAUCAAAUUUCAAAUCUUUUCGACAUCAUUUGUCUAAUGAUCAAAGGGUUUCAAAAUUUGUAAUUUUAAUGGUCGAUAUGAGACGUUUUCUCGUUUAACGGCGUAAAGAUAUUCAAAUCAAUUGAAUUU
rnacentral:lncRNA from 1 species